rnacentral:rRNA from 1 species
GGUUAACGCUGGCGGCAUGCCUUACACAUGCAAGUCGAACGGCAGCGCGGACUUCGGUCUGGCGGCGAGUGGCGAACGGGUGAGUAAUGUAUCGGAACGUGCCCAGUAGCGGGGGACAACCACUCGAAAGAGUGGCUAAUACCGCAUACGCCCUACGGGGGAAAGGGGGGGAUCGCAAGACCUCUCACUAUUGGAGCGGCCGAUAUCGGAUUAGCUAGUUGGUGGGGUAAAGGCUCACCAAGGCGACGAUCUGUAGCGGGUCUGAGAGGAUGAUCCGCCACACUGGAACUGAGACACGGUCCAGACUCCUACGGGAGGCAGCAGUGGGGAAUCUUAGCAAUGGGGGAAACCCUGAUCUAGCCAUGCCGCGUGAUCGAUGAAGGCCUUAGGGUUGUAAAGAUCUUUUCAGAUGGGGAAGAUAAUGGACGGUACCAUCAGAAGAAGCCCCGGCUAACUCCGUG